GCCCAGAUCGUUUACCGUGAAGAAAUUAGAGUGUUCAAAGCGGGCGCGAAAGCAAUUUCUCGCCGUUGAAUACGUCAGCAUGGGAUAAUGGAAUAGGACCCCGCUCUCCUAUUUUCCGUUGGUUUCCGGGAGCGGGGUAAUGAUUGAUAGGGAUAGUUGGGGGCAUCGAUAUUUAAUUGUCAGAGGUGAAAUUCUUGGAUUUAUGAAAGAUCGACUUCCGCGAAAGCAUUUGCCAAGGAUGUUUUCAUUAAUCAAGAACGAAAGUUAGG
rnacentral:rRNA from 1 species